rnacentral:rRNA from 1 species
GUCCACACCGUAAACGUUGGGCGCUAGGUGUGGGAUCCAUUACACGGGUUCCGUGCCGCAGCUAACGCAUUAAGCGCCCCGCCUGGGGAGUACGGCCGCAAGGCUAAAACUCAAAGGAAUUGACGGGGCCCGCACAAGCGGCGGAGCAUGCGGAUUAAUUCGAUGCAACGCGAAGAACCUUACCUGGGUUUGACAUACGCCGGAAAGCUCUAGAGAUAGAGCCCCCUUUUAGUCGGUGUACAGGUGGUGCAUGGAUGUCGU